UGGGGAAUAUUGCACAAUGGGCGCAAGCCUGAUGCAGCGACGCCGCGUGGGGGAUGACGGCCUUCGGGUUGUAAACUCCUUUCGCUCGGGACGAAGCUUUUUGUGACGGUACCUAGAUAAGAAGCACCGGCUAACUACGUGCCAGCAGCCGCGGUAAUACGUAGGGUGCGAGCGUUGUCCGGAAUUACUGGGCGUAAAGGGCUCGUAGGUGGUUUGUCGCGUCGUCUGUGAAAUUCCGGGGCUUAACUCCGGGCGUGCAGGCGAUACGGGCAUAACUUGAGUACUGUAGGGGUAACUGGAAUUCCUGGUGUAGCGGUGAAAUGCGCAGAUAUCAGGAGGAACACCGAUGGCGAAGGCAGGUUACUGGGCAGUUACUGACGCUGAGGAGCGAAAGCAUGGGUAGCGAACAGG
rnacentral:rRNA from 1 species